CUUUGCUCCUCUGUCCGGGCCGCCAUCUUGCCUCCUCUUGGAGCCUGAGACUUCAAGCCAUGCAGCAGCAGGUGGAGCGUUAAUAGCAAGUCUGAAGAAUUCAUCUGAACCCUAAAACCAUCCACCUGAAGGCAGUCCCGCCUCUAGACUCUUCAAGGAUCUGGGCGGGGGCCCCUGAGUGGCUCAAACCCAGAGUCCUGAUGGACAGAUACUGCCCUCCCAAAUUCUCCUUCCGUGAUGAGCUCCGAAGUUUCCGGUCUAAGGAAGAGGGCAAACAGUGCAAGGCCCCUAAGAUCCUCCUGCUGUAUGACGGCAACGUGUCGCGUGGAGAAUCAGGAGAUGCAAGUGGAAGGAAGUACUCAGACAUGUG